rnacentral:lncRNA from 1 species
UUGCUGAACCGGCUGAGCCUGGGGCUGUGGAGGAGGAUGCGUCGCCGGCUGGGUCUGCGGCUGCCGGAAGUUGAGGUCCUGCGGAUGAUGGUAGGGUUGGUGGAGAGUGAAAUGGGGAGGGAAUUGGUGAGGCUGAGGAGGGAAUUGGGGGUGGUGAUAGAGGGCAAAAUGGUCCUUGGGCGAGACAUGGAGCUGGGACUGGGUUUGGGUCUGGGUCUGGGUCUGGUUCUGGGUCUGGGUCUGUGGUUGCUGUUGCGGAGGCUGGGGCUGGGGCGGGGGCUGGGGCUGAGGCUGAGGCUGGGGCUGGGGCUGGGG